CGCUAGCAGUUGGGCUGCUUUAAGGUCCUAACAUUUCCGAACAGGUCCGAACAAAUAACAAAAGGUCCGAACGGCGACAUAACAAAAGGUCCGAACGUAGGUCCGAACACUUCCGAACGAAGGUCCGAACACUUCCGAACGAAAAAGACCCGGAUGAAGAAAAAGACCCGGAUGUAGCAAGCCGGCGCACAGUGACGUGGAGGAGGAGGCUUCGCGUGUCAGCCAUGUUUUCCGCCGCAAUGAAGAAACAAUCGGAGAAAGAUGACAAAAACAUGGAAGCCGAGUAGCUACUGGAAGGACAUCUGCUUCAAAUAUGCCCGGGGCCAAUUCCAUUUUUCAAUUGGUAAACAGCCAGGGUCCAAGAAAUGGAAAACGGCUUUCACCGACACCAGCGCACUUUUGUUCCAGAUACCCCCAGAAGGCUAGAACAAAGGCAUGGGUUUCAGCAGGACCAUGGAGAGCAUCCAGGUAGCUGAGUGGCUCUGCUCCUGGAUUGCAGGUGGCAGAAAGACUCUACAUGACUCACGGCCAAGCAGCCUAAGACCCUGAAGUCAACAGAGUCAGUGAGUGUUUGCCUCACACUUGUCGAAGAGUUUGAGCAAGCACACAACAGGCUGUCUCUUAAUGGCUGCUUAGGAGGGAUAAGAGGAAGGACAGGGACAUGCUGCUGCAAGGCAAUGUACUUCCCAAACAGCUGCACCUGGCCAAAGAGCCUCUCCUCCAGUGAACACACUCCCGGCUGCCCCUGUGCAACACGCACAUUAAGUCAUGACUUUUGAAGAGCCUGAAAACCAUGAAGGAGAAGCUUUCCUCCGCCAGCGCACUCUGGCAUCCUAGAAGGAACCUGUGUGUUGUACCCUCCACAGUACGGGCCAUCUCCUCCGUCCCAGUAUCCUUCAUUUUAUCAUCUAUUUCUGCACUCUCAGUUUGCCCAUUAUCCUCCAUUUACACAUGCUCCUCCAGCGCAGCAUCCUCCUCUAUUUAACAAUGCUCCUCCAGUACAGCAAGCUCUUCACCAAUAUUUGUGACUUUGUUCGUCACAUCCUUUUUGCACACAUUCAUUUGUACUUUGCUCUCUUUUAUUUAUAUGGAUGACUGGAGGAGGAAUUUGCAGUAGUAGGUGUCACCAAUAUUCGUAACUUUAUUUGUCACAUCCUGUUUGCACACAUUCAUUUGCACUUCGGUAUCUUUUAUAUUUUAUU